rnacentral:rRNA from 1 species
GAUGAACGCUGGCGGCGUGCCUAAUACAUGCAAGUCGAGCGAACAGACGAGGAGCUUGCUCCUCUGACGUUAGCGGCGGACGGGUGAGUAACACGUGGAUAACCUACCUAUAAGACUGGGAUAACUUCGGGAAACCGGAGCUAAUACCGGAUAAUAUAUUGAACCGCAUGGUUCAAUAGUGAAAGACGGUUUUGCUGUCACUUAUAGAUGGAUCCGCGCCGCAUUAGCUAGUUGGUAAGGUAACGGCUUACCAAGGCGACGAUGCGUAGCCGACCUGAGAGGGUGAUCCGCCACCCUGGAACUGAGACACGGUCCAGACUCCUACGGGAGGCAGCAGUAGGGAAUCUUCCGCAAUGGGCGAAAGCCUGACGGAGCAACGCCGCGUGAGUGAUGAAGGUCUUCGGAUCGUAAACCUCUGUUAUUAGGGAAGAACAAAUGUGUAAGUAACUAUGCACGUCUUGACGGUACCUAAUCAGAAAGCCACGGCUAACUACGUG